rnacentral:tRNA from 1 species
GGUCCAGUAGCUCAAUUGGAUAGAGCAACAGCCUUCUAAGCUGUAGGUUAUGGGUUCGAUCCCCGUCUGGAUCA